rnacentral:lncRNA from 1 species
CGGAGCCGGGAGCUGGGAGCCGGAAGACGGUAGGGGGAGGGGGAGGGGUGCGGCCUCUGGCGGGACCCUGUCGCCAUGUAGGGAAUCCGCCCAUCUAAAAACGUGCCCGUUACUGUGACGUGCAAACUAAUGGCCCCUAAAGAUACCCCGCCCUAAUUUCCGGGAACCCGUGAAUAUGCCAUCUGAACAUGGCGAAAGGAAUUUUGGAGACGGGAACAGGGUUGUGGACCGGGCGGUGAGACGACCCCGAAGCCCACUGCUAGGCCGUCUGGUCGCCGGUCGGCCCUCUCCGGACGUCACGGAGAAGGCUCCCUCCGGCUCGGGCCGGUGACCGGAGUCAAGCUGGAGACCGGCCUGGCGGCCUCAGCGCUGCCCUCCACGGCGAGGCGGCCUGGGACCUGUCCCAAGGGCGGCGCCCGGUGAACCGGUGACGGCCCUUUUAUUUCCAGGGACUUACAAAUAGGUGCACCCCAGCGUUUUGUGGGAAUAGAGCACAACGGUUAGCUUGAAAAGUGAGGGUUGAUUGCUUUUCCCAGGAGCGCUCCAGCACCGGGCUACCCCCAAGACUUUUUUUUUUAAUUUCGAGACAGGGUCUCACCAAGUCCCCCAGGUUGGCCCCCCAUUUCAAUCUGAGUUUACCCAGUAGCUGGGAUUGUAGGCGUGCACCACUGCGCUCAGCAUUAAUUGAUUUCUUUUAAUUAAAUGAACUAACCACUUAAGUAAGGAGCGUCCAGACAUCUGUAUUCCUUUGCAAGUGCAUUGUCUAAGAACCACUUGUUUUGGAGGAACAUAUGAAUGCUCUCAACUCUUGAUCAUCUUCACCCCACGUCCCCAAACAGGCACCCGAGUGGACGGGUAAACACCUGAACACCCACGGACAUCAUCUGCCUUGCUUUCAGUGUGCAGAGUGUGAUCCACAUCUUUGAGGAUUAUCUUGAUAAAAACAAUUAUUAAAAAUUGUUUCUUUUUCUAAAAUCCUUUCUCAAGCAAGAUACAAUGCUUACUUUAACUGUUCUCAUGAAGAGAACGUUCUCAUGAAGCCUUGUGAGUGAACAGAAAAAUGACAUAAAUUUCACUAUUCUAACUGUACAAGGACACAGUGCCUUUAUUUAUUUUUAUGUGGUGUUGAGGAUUGUGCCCAGUGCCUCACACGUGCUAAUGAAGCCAGAAUUAGACAGGCAGGGGUAUAGAUAGGUAAAUGGAGUCAGCUCUGAUGAAGGAGGCCAAUUACAGGGAGUCGGGAAGUUGGAGACUACCCCCUGAGGGAUUGGAAUGCCCCAAUCAAGAUAACCUGCUCCCUCCAACCUGUUGCUAAGGUAACCUGUCCCAGGAAUUGCCCCUCCCUACAG